rnacentral:sRNA from 1 species
CAGGACAGGUACAGCACCGGCAGCAACAGUGAGAGUUUCCCCCACACUAGCCCAUCCGUGUCCUUCAACCCUGACCAGGAGGGAUCGUCCAUAGA